GACGAACGCUGGCGGCGCGCCUAACACAUGCAAGUCGAACGGAGUCAAGAGGAGCUUGCUUUUCUUGACUUAGUGGCGAACGGGUGAGUAACGCGUGAGUAACCUGCCCUGGAGUGGGGGACAACAGUUGGAAACGACUGCUAAUACCGCAUAAGCCCACGGAUCUGCAUGGAUCUGCGGGAAAAGGAUUUAUUCGCUCUAGGAUGGACUCGCGUCCAAUUAGCUAGCUGGUGAGGUAACGGCCCACCAAGGCGACGAUUGGUAGCCGGACUGAGAGGUUGAACGGCCACAUUGGGACUGAGACACGGCCCAGACUCCUACGGGAGGCAGCAGUGGGGGAUAGUGCACAAUGGGGGAAACCCUGAUGCAGCGACGCCGCGUGGAGGAAGAAGGUUUUCGGAUUGUAAACUCCUGUCGUUAGGGACGAUAAUGACGGUACCUAACAAGAAAGCACCAGCUAACUACGUG
rnacentral:rRNA from 1 species